AUGUACUGUGCGCGUACACUCCGGAUCCUGCGCACCGGGCGCACCCGGUUGAAGGCCGCUCGCCACGUUUUCCAAUG
rnacentral:sRNA from 1 species